AUUGAACGCUGGCGGCAGGCCUAACACAUGCAAGUCGAACGAGUGGCGGACGGGUGAGUAAUGUCUGGGAAACUGCCCGAUGGAGGGGGAUAACUACUGGAAACGGUAGCUAAUACCGCAUACCAUCGGAUGUGCCCAGAGGGGAUGAGCUAGUAGGUGGGGUAAGGGCUCACCUAGGCGACGAUCCCUAGCUGGUCUGAGAGGAUGACCAGCCACACUGGAACUGAGACACGGUCCAGACUCCUACGGGAGGUAGCAGUGGAGAAUAUUGCACAAGGGGCGCAAGACUGAUGCAGCCAUGCCGCGUGUAUGAAGAAGGCCUUCGGUUUUUAAAGUACUUUCAGCGGGGAGGCGUUACCCGCAGAAGAAGCACCGGCUAACUCCGUGCCAGCAGCCGCGGUAAUUC
rnacentral:rRNA from 1 species